GACGAACGCUGGCGGCGUGCCUAUACCUGCAAGUAGAACGCUGAAGAGAGGAGCUUGCUCUUCUUGGAUGAGUUGCGAACGGGUGAGUAACGCGUAGGUAACCUGCCUUGUAGCGGGGGAUAACUAUUGGAAACGAUAGCUAAUACCGCAUAACAAUGGAUGACACAUGUCAUUUAUUUGAAAGGGGCAAUUGCUCCACUACAAGAUGGACCUGCGUUGUAUUAGCUAGUAGGUGAGGUAAUGGCUCACCUAGGCGACGAUACAUAGCCGACCUGAGAGGGUGAUCGGCCACACUGGGACUGAGACACGGCCCAGACUCCUACGGGAGGCAGCAGUAGGGAAUCUUCGGCAAUGGGGGCAACCCUGACCGAGCAACGCCGCGUGAGUGAAGAAGGGUUUCGGAUCGUAAAGCUCUGUUGUAAGUCAAGAACGGGUGUGAGAGUGGAAAGUUCACACUGUGACGGUAGCUUACCAGAAAGGGACGGCUAACUACGUG
rnacentral:rRNA from 1 species